CCUCCGAAGUUUCCCUCAGGAUAGCUGGCGCUCUCACACACCCACCCCGACGCGAUGCAGUUUUAUCCGGUAAAGCGAAUGAUUAGAGGUCUUGGGGCCGAAACGAUCUCAAC
ensembl:miRNA